UCUGCAGUUUCCUCUCAGGCCUCGUGUUGUUCGUACUCGAGGUUUCUGGAGCUGCACAGACUAUAUCCGGGAGGAAGCCGAGACCCCGCUGCCGGAGUGACUGCAGGCGGACGUGCUAUGUUCCUCGCAUAUUCUGCUUCUGUUGCCACGGAGAUAAUGGCGUCACCGUGUUAUUAUCUAUCCGCCAACAGAUAGAGAGAUGCAGUGUGAUAUUAUUUACAGAGCGAAGACUCUCUGCUAAAUACUGAACCUGCAACAUAG